ACAACAGGCCAGGAAUUAGUCACAUUGAGAGGAUGUUGAGAAUUCUGUGCAUGUUACUGAUGGCCCUGUACCUCAUUUCGUGCGUCUCCGCUUACGUCAUCUACCGAGUCCCGGUCCCUGUCUAUAGGAGACCUGUAUAUAGGACAUUUUAUCAUCCAGACAUUGAUGAUGAUAAUAUCGUCUUCCUUCACGGUUAAAAAAACACAAGAAGUUGUACAGAAUGGAAUGAUGCAUGAACUCUGCGGUGUGGCAACGGUUCAUCUGUGUAUUGCGCAAUAAUUGUUAUUAAAUUAUUUUGUCUUUUUUGAUAUCGUAUUUUUGUCAAU